AUGAGACAACAAUUUUUCCAUCCUUACUAUCGUCGUGAAUUGCUUCACAAAUUUGAACAAUUUAAACAAGGCAACAACACUGUUCAUGCUUACUACCAAGAGUUCAAAUCUUAUAUGCAUCAUUGUGACAUAGAAGAAUUUGAGGAUGAUACAAUGAAUAGAUUUUUUGGUGGUUUGAACCAUGAUAUUCAGGCAAGAUUUCAGUAUAUUCCUCGUUGCAUUACUGGUAUGUAUGUUCGUGCUUGUACCUUUGAGAGACAGUUGCAGGAGGAUGCAUUGGGUGACUACAACAACUACUAUUCCAAUUCAUGCUCACUACCAUCAGUUGUUUCCUCCACCGUUGCACCUACUAGAGCAGCCACACCUCAGAUUGUGAGUGCGACAUCAUCUCAAGUGUAUGGUACAUUGUCAUUGUCCAUACCUACAUCAGCUACGUCUUUGCGACAAGGUAACAGUAAAGGUAUUGAUGAUAUAACUUCACAUGAGAAUGAUGCAUGCCUAAUUAACUUAAAUACAUCAUGUGUUGAGUUACCUGUUGAUUUGAGCACGCCACCUAUUUUAGAGAAUCAUGUUACUGUCAUGAAUGCAUCAUGA
rnacentral:rRNA from 1 species